rnacentral:rRNA from 1 species
AGUCCACGCUGUAAACGAUGUCGAUUUGGAGUUUGUUGCCUAGAGUGAUGGGCUCCGAAGCUAACGCGAUAAAUCGACCGCUGGGGAGUACGGCCGCAAGGUUAAAACUCAAAUGAAUUGACGGGGGCCCGCACAAGCGGUGGAGCAUGUGGUUUAAUUCGAUGCAACGCGAAGAACCUUACCUGGUCUUGACAUCCAUAGAAUUCUGCAGAGAUGUGGGAGUGCCUUCGGGAACUAUGAGACAGGUGCUGCAUGGCUGUCGUCAGCUCGUGUUGUGAAAUGUUGGGUUAAGUCCCGCAACGAGCGCAACCCUUAUUCUUUGUUGCCAGCGAUUUGGUCGGGAACUCAAAGGAGACUGCCGUUGAUAAAGCGGAGGAAGGUGGGGACGACGUCAAGUCAUCAUGGCCUUUACGACCAGGGCUACACACGUGCUACAAUGGCGUAUACAAAGGGAAGCGAAGGUGCGAGCUGGAGCGGAUCUCAUAAAGUACGUCUAAGUUCGGAUUGGAGUCUGCAACUCGACUCCAUGAAGUCGGAAUCGCUAGUAAUCGUAGAUCAGAAUGCUACGGUGAAUACGUUCCUGGGCCUUGUACACACCGCCCGUCACACCAUGGGAGUGGGUUGCACCAGAAGUAGAUAGCUUAACCGCGAGGGGGGCGUUUACCACGGCGUGAUUCAUGACUGGGGUGAAGUCGUAACAAGGUAACCA